CAAGAAUCAAUGCAAUUGUGUUGAUGAACACUCCACAUUAGAUGAUAACAUAUUGAGGUGGUCCUGUCAGGAUGCUUGGGAAAAACUACUGGAAUCUGAGAGGUUUGAUCAGAGGGAUGACUUCACUGUUGUUCUUCAGCCUUCUCUCCAAGAAAGAAAUCUGCUACUCAGACUGGGCAAGGACAGUUUGACUACCACAUCAAAGACACAAGUGAAAACUCUGGAAGACUGUAUUUACAUGGCUGUGGGCCUCUGGAAC